CUAAGCUGUCCGGUUCUUCGGGUUUUCCCAGCGCAGAGCCCGGUAUAUACUGCAGGCACUCCAUCAAUACUUGUUGGGUAAAUAGAAAGACGAUCCAGAGGGUACUAGAAACUCCCAAGGGACUUACCUGCCUUGUGGAACGGAAUUCCCUGUAAGCCCAGAGCCCAGCAGAGAGGAGGCACCCCAUACACACUUUCCAACCACCAACUGCUGAAGGAGGCUCAGGUUAAGUCAUUCUCUUCAGGCUCCAGGAUAAGUGGGUCCGGUUUGUACGUUACAGCCUUAUCUGGGGACCCUCGUUUUCCACCCCAGCUACACGUCUGUGAACAAUCGCCUCUCCGGCCCCUGAAAGGAGAGCGAGCGCCCCAUUUCUGCUGAAUGCACGUCUCAGUUCAUCCAAGGCUGGCGGGCUUUUGAUGGCCACAAUGCGAGUUACGCCCAAAGAGUGUCUCUUUGGUCAGAUCGACAACGCUUGGCUUCACGUUUGCAAGUUAAACGGGCAGAAACCCGGCUGAAACUCCCACGCCAGACGCCGGGGACGCUUCCCUCCGCCCAGUUCAGAGCAGCACUGGGGACUGGGUCUGGACAGGGGCAAGAAGGGAGGGAGCGGGAGUUGUCAGGGGGCGGCGCGGGAAAA